UACGGAGGGUGCAAGCGUUAAUCGGAAUUACCGGGCGUAAAGCGCACGCAGGUGGCUGAGUCAGUCGAUUGUGAAAGCCCUGGGCUUAACCUGGGAAUUGCAGUCGAUACUACUCAGCUCGAGUAUGGGAGAGGGCGGUGGAAUUCCCGGUGUAGCGGUGAAAUGCGUAGAUAUCGGGAGGAACAUCAGUGGCGAAGGCGGCUGCCUGGCCCAAUACUGACACUCAGGUGCGACAGCGUGGGGAGCAAACAGG
rnacentral:rRNA from 1 species